rnacentral:rRNA from 1 species
GACGAACGCUGGCGGCGUGCCUAACACAUGCAAGUCGAGCGGAAAGGCCCUGCUUUUGUGGGGUUCUCGAGUGGCGCAUGGGUGUGUAACACGUGAGUAUCCUGCCCUUGACUUUGGGAUAACUUCAGGAAACUGGGGCUAUUACCGGAUAGGAGCUCCUGCUGCAUGGUGGGGGUUGGAAAGUUUCGGCGGUUGGGGCUAGACUCGCGGCUUAUCACCUUGUUGGUGGGGUAGUGGCUUACCAGGGCUUCGACGGAUAGCCGGCCUGAGAGGGGGACCGGGGACAAGAGGCCUAAGGUAGGGCCCAGAAGGCAACGGGAGGCAACAGGCGGAAGUAUGACGCAAUGAGCGGAAGCGUGAUGCAACAGCGCCGCGUGCGGAAAGACGGCCUUCGGGGUAUAAACCGCUUUCGCCUGAGACGAAGCGGGAGUGACGGUAAUGAGUAAAGAAGCACCGGCUAACUACGUG